UACGAAGGGGGGCUAGCGUUGCUCGGAAUCACUGGGCGUAAAGGGUGCGUAGGCGGGUCUUUUAAGUCAGGGGUGAAAUCCUGGAGCUCAACUCCAGAACUGCCUUCGAUACUGGAAAGCUCGAGUCCGGGAGAGGUGAGUGGAACUGCGAGUGUAGAGGGUGAAAUUCGUAGAUAUUUCGCAAGAACACCAGUGGCGAAGGCGGCUCACUGGCCCGGUACUGACGCUGAGGUGCGAAAGCGUGGGGAGCAAACAGG
rnacentral:rRNA from 1 species